rnacentral:lncRNA from 1 species
AUUGGCCACAGCUUCAUCUUAUACCUGCAAAUCCUCUUUCAUCCAAGGGGUAGGGGGCUCUGAGCCUGCUACAGACACAGCAUAUUCCUGACAAAGAGGAAAGAGUGGGGAGACCUCCAGGCUCUCCAAGGUACAAGCAAUGCUUUCGCUGGUCUGGCUCAAGUCCCCUCACUACAGCUUCUGCUUUGCCAUCAGCUCCAAGAUACUCUUAUGUGCAAGUAAUGCUUUGUGUGAUGAAGAGGGCAGGAUCUGAGGCAGCCCCUGUGCUGGCAAUUUGGAUAGUGGGUAUGUAUGAUCUUUACACACAAGGGGAUUUGAUAAAGCUCCAGUGGUGUCAAGGAGAGAGGGAGUUAGCUUGAAAGGAUAACUAGGCAGAAGACACCCUUCCAGGAAAAUUCAUAUAUGACAGAAACUGAAGAUCAACCAAAACUUUCCUUCUUAAAUUUGAUACAGGCGUAUUUAAAAUUAUCGUAUGCAGUGCAGGAAAAGCAUAAUAUCAGCUAAUUUCUCGUUUUUUAAAAACAUUUAGAGUCUUAUGAGUAUUUGGGUUUUAUCAUAUUUGCAUUCUUUCCUGUGAUUUUUUGAUACUUAAAC